AUAGGAAGAAAAACUCAUUUGGUGUUUGUCUCUCUUUUGUGUUAGCCGAGAAGAGAGAAAGUACUGCAGUGUUUCAAGACAAACAAAAAGUAGCUGGAGAAGCCAUGGAAGGAGGUAGCUCAAAUAAUACAGCUGCAGGAGCAAAGUUGACAGAGUUGGAAGUGUUACAAAAAGAACAUGAUGAAAAAAGUUCCAAAAUUCAAGAGCUGAAGAAACAGAUUGCAUCAGCAGAGCAGCGUUUGGAAAAGAAAGAGGCCACAGGGGACAAAAUGGAAAGUUUCAAUGCAUUAAGCCAGAAAUAUAACAGUCUGAGAGAGGAAUACAAUGCAAUUCUAGCUGAAAAAUCAAGUGGAUCAAAUUAAUAAUUUUACCUCUUAAGUCUUAAGUUAUUAUAAUAUUAUUAGAUGAACAAUUAGUUUUAUUUGGUAGUAAUAUUGCUGUACUGAAAUUUCUACCAAAAAUAAAUAAA